GCAAACUUGGUCAUUUAGAGGAAGUAAAAGUCGUAACAAGGUUUCCGUAGGUGAACCUGCGGAAGGAUCAUUACCGAGUGAGGGCCCUCUGGGUCCAACCUCCCACCCGUGUUUAUCGUACCUUGUUGCUUCGGCGGGCCCGCCGCCAGGCCGCCGGGGGGCUUCCGUCCCCGGGUCCGCGCCCGCCGAAGACACCUGUGAACGCUGUAUGAAGAUUGCAGUCUGAGCGAAAAGCUAAAUCGUUAAAACUUUCAACAACGGAUCUCUUGGUUCCGGCAUCGAUGAAGAACGCAGC
rnacentral:misc_RNA from 1 species